UAAACAGUGCCCACCCUUCAUC
rnacentral:miRNA from 1 species